rnacentral:tmRNA from 1 species
GGGGGCGAUUAGGAUUCGACGCCGGUGUCAAAGCCCAAGGUGCAUGCCGUGAGGACAGCGAAUCACGUUAAUCCAAAGCUGUAUCUGAAUAGUCGCAAACGACGAUUCUUACGCUUUAGCAGCUUAAGCCUGCUAACGGUCUGCAACAAGGUGCCAGUACCGCGAUGCCGACUGUCAAACAGAACUGGCUAGUUGUGUUGUUCCGAUCGCGGCAACAUUGCGAAACCUAAAGCGAACUCGCUCACUACGUCCUGCCCGUUGGGUUGUUCCUGAGUUAAAUUAAUUAACGGAAUCUAAGCAUGUAGAGCCGCGGAUGGAGAGCUGACGGACGGGGGUUCAAAUCCCCCCGCCUCCACCA